CUGCAAUCCCUUUAUACUUUCCUGGUUCCUGUGGUUCUCCAUAUUGUAUAGUCACAUCUGAGGACCUAGAGCUAGUGGCUGCUGACAACGAGUGGAAACCACAACUGGACAUAAGGCAGAGAUCAGCGGUUGGUGGGGGCCACACGGAUACAUCUGCAGCAUGGCACCUGCAUCUUUGACUCAGGGGACAUAGCAGAGGAGAUCUGAAAGAUUGAAAGAGCUGGAACAUCAGGGAGUCUGCUGAAAGACUCUUUUCAGAAUGCUGAAAAUAAAACUCCUAUGUGACUCAGCUGUUCUGCCCCCAUGAACAUACCCAAGGAACUCCACAUCCUACAGAGAUACUAUUUAUUUACGGUUACUGCUGCACUAUUCACAAACCACAAGGAAAUGGAAGCAGCGUAGAUGCCCAUACACAGUGAAAACGUAGUCCAUAUCCACAAUGGGAUUUUAUUCAGCUAUAAAGGCCAUCGUCCAGCUUAUCCAACAAUGGCAGGCUAUGGAUGGAAACUCCAAGAAUCCAUGUGAGGAGCGGGUGUGGCCGCCACCCCAA